rnacentral:tRNA from 3 species
GGAGAGGUGGCUGAGCGGUUGAAAGCAACGUCCUGCUAAGACGUUAGGGGAGUAAUCCCCUCGAGGGUUCAAAUCCCUCCCUCUCCG